AAAUAAAUUUAAUUAGUUGUCUAUACUAAUUUUUAACAAGUAUUUCUUUUGUUGUUGAAAUGAAAGACAACUAAAAUUUGGUUGCUUUUAUUGUAUUUUAACGACAAAAAUAGUUAUUAAACAACCAAACAAUUCGUUGUUGAAAAAUAUAAUCAAUUGUCAAUACAAACCUUUUACGACCAAUUAUUUAGUUGCUAAAGUAAUACAGUUAACGAUCAAAUGUAUUUUUAGUCAUUGAAUAUAAUCGCGAACACCUCUUUGCUGACCAACGAACGACCAACUGAUUUUAGUCGUUGAAUGUGAUCAACAACCAAAAAUGUACAUUCUACGACCAUUUAUAUGGUUGUUAAAGGUGAUAUUUCCUGUGGUGCUUAAAUGUCUUUUAUUUUUAUUAAAAUGUGAAACUUCUGUAGAACGAAAAUGAAUAGAAGCAAGAAAUGAUGGAGAAGCUCUCUAGAAAAUUGCGAAAAUCUUGUCGAGCAUCUCAAUUCAAUGACAACAACAAUUUCUCUCUACUUGCGACAAUGGCCAUCUGAGUGACACCCAAGGUUUCCAAUUAUUCAAUACUCAAAAGCUCAUGUAUUGUAAUUGUGUGUGAAUAUCAAUAAUUGAGUGUUAACUGAAUUUCUUUAGUUUUGAAUUAUCUAUGUAUCGUUAAUUGUGUAUAUUUGAUUAUUUGUAGAGUAAGAGUAGCUUUUUCGAUCUUUCGAGAAGAAUCUAGUUCAGUCGGUCUUUUCUUUGGAAGUUAUGAGUAUAAAUGAUUAUUCUAAUAUAUUUUUUAAAUUGUUUUUUAGUUCACUGAGUUGAUACUGGUUUAAUUCUUGUAGAGCAUUUUUGCUAAACUACUUUUUUAUUACACAGCUGUACUCAUUUUCUCAAUUUUUCAACAGGCUUAUUAUCCCUGGGAAUUGUUGGUCUUUGAAUUUUUAUUGUAACACCAUGCAUAUAGAAUAGAUGUUGAUUAGGGUCUAUAAAACUUGUCUAUCUUGACGCAUACUUAUAAAUAAUUUUUAUAUGAAAUUCCAUUAGAAGUCCAUUUUAGUAGGGUGAAUAAGGCACGUGAGGUGAGCAAUAUCAAGUAAAAUGCUUGGUUGACAAGAUAAAAAUUUAUGAAAAAACACAUGCUAAAUUUUAUUCUCAAUGAACUUGUAGCUGGCUAUAUGUAUCCUUCUUCUUUCAUACUGUCCAAUACAUUUAGAGUUUUAGAUUUAGAGCCUGUUUGGGAGUGAUUUUGAGCAUUGAUUUUUUUACCGUUAGGGGAAAAGUGGGGUCCACCUGUGAAAGAAGAAGUGAAAUAUGAUAGCUGAAAUAGUAAAAUAACGAUUAAAAAAUCAAUUUUUUGGGGGAAAAAAUCACUCCCAAACAGGCUCUUAGCAAUAUAGCAGCAUAUUUACUGUUAUGUCUAAUGAAAUAAAAUCUUUUGCAAAUUAUGAUAAAUUGGGACUACUUCUCCCCUAUGGUAUUGAUGUUGCAAGAUUUUAUGCAAAAUUGGUGGUCCCUGCAUCAUCCAAGACCAUAAUUAGAACCAAACUUACUCAUAAUUGGGUUAAUUAUGCAUCCUAAGCUCUUAUCCAACAUUAUCGCUCUCAUCCAAAUGUGGUCGUGUGUAUGAGUGUUGAUCAGUUGGUAUAAGCAAAUUAAUAGUACGGAACUUUAAACAGACCAUAAGAUAUAAGCAUUUGUGGGCACUGCCAUAAAGUACCAUCACUACUUUUCUUAUACACAAAUGAAGGAUGCACUACGAUGUUUGAAAAUAUAUGCCUCGACAUCCAUAAUUUGGUGAAUAAUCGAUUAAGAAAAAUUAAUGGGAAUAUCAAAAUCACAUAUUUAGUCAGAUAUUAAAUUCUCUGUGUACGACGUCCAUUGCCAGGAAUGAAUACUAGAGGCGUCAACAAGGACAAGGGAGUAAGCUUUUCUUAGUUCACCUUCAUUCUGAAGUCGUGAGAGAUUAUAAGUAAUGCUAGAUUCUCUCACAAAUUGGUCAUUAAUCCAAAACACAUAAAUCCUUCAUUUUUAAAAUAUUGCAUGAAUGUUGAAUAUGUUAUAACUUACAAUAGAAGAACUAAAACUAAGUUGAAAGGGAAUUAUUUGUUCUAAAAACAUGAAAAUCAAUUCAAUUCUAAUUCAUAUUAGUAGACAUCAUCUUGUUUCCGAAAGAAAUGAAACCAAAACCUAAGUGGCAAGUAUAAAUUCACUUUUAUGUCUUUAUAAUUUCACAUGAUAAGAUUUGAAGAACAUGGAUUUGAAAAAAUAGUGGUAUAAAUUUAUAAUGUUGACCUUAUCUGAUAUGAGCCUCAGCCUUAAAAAUCCUUACCUAUUAUGGCUCAUUUUUAGCUUCAAUUUCAAUUUCAGUUUAUUCUUUGGUCUAAAAUUCAUCGUGGCCUGAGAUUAUAUUAAGCUCGGUUUGAAUUGGUUUUAUUCACAAUCAUAAUGGACAUUGGAAGGGUUGUUACACCUGUGUCAUUCUUUGUGCUCAUUUUUCUUGUUUCUAUCCGAUUAACAGCAUUAUCGUGCAUACUUCAUGUACGAGGUUGAUUCGUGGAGCAUCAUGUCUGCAGGUUAGGUUCUUCCUCUUAAUUUUGUAUUUCCAUUUUCUUGAUAGGUGAGUUUGUAGUCCAUGUAUUGCAUACUGGGAAUGAUGUUAUGAGUUCACUACUCAAAUGGAUUUUGUUUGUUACUAUUUUCAUCGGCAGCAUUGCCCUGAAAAUCAUUUUUUUGUUUUAAUUUAUUUCAACUGUCGCGGUAAUUUUUAUCGCUAUAUGCUUAGUCACUAAAGUUUAAUUAAGUUUACUUAUAAUCUUUGUUGCAUAAAUUGUUUAUUUAUAUGCUUUCUCAUAUUAUUCAUGCAAUUUCUAAAUAAAUCUAUGGAAAAUAUGCAAAGAAAGAUAUUGAAUAACCAAUUCACUCUGUCAACGAAAGUACAAAUUCUUAUUCUUGUCUUUAAAAGAUUAAGGUUUCUUUGCAUUCUAUGCUUCCCUCUAUUAACUUCAAAAUUCAAGCAAAGCAAUGUCAAGGUCUUGUGCAACGAUCACAUUUUUUUCUUGGUGGUUUAGGAGGAGAGAAGAUCUCUUGAACUAUGUUUAGGUGUUUGCCUACCUACGGAUUAUGAUUAUCUUCCAUCAAUUAGCAAGAACACAUUCCAUUAAAUAUCUUAUUAUUCAUUUCCACUCUGAUUGAGUUUACAUCCAUGCUACAGAUAGGCAAAGUUUAAGUGGGAUAUCUCACGGCUUCCUUUUGGGCCAUUGAGGUAAACUAUAGUGGGAUAUAAAUUGAUGGUGACAUAUACAGUGGUCAUUGAAGUUCUCAAGCAUACGGUAAUUUGAAUUAAGCUUUAAAAAACAUGCACAACUGGAUUUACAUGCCAUCAAUUUAUAUAUAGAAGUGCUUGUAUUUUCAGAUUAUGUUGUCUACUGUGCCUGAGAUGAUGAGAUUAUAAUUGUCAUGUGGAUGCAUAAUGUAUGUUUAUUAGAAUGUGAUUUUGUUAAAAAAAAUNNNNNNNNNNNNNNNNNNNNNNNNNNNNNNNNNNNNNNNNNNNNNNNNNNNNNNNNNNNNNNUUUGGUCAUGUUAAAUCUGAUUACUUUUAUGAAAAAAGAAAAGGAAAAAUUUGAUCUAUUAUUCAUAUGACAAUUGAUUUACUAUUGCUUUUUGUAGGGAUACAUUUCUGAAGAUUGAGACUGGUGAAAGUCCAAAUGACAGGAAUGAUAAAAUUCUGUUCUCUACGUUAUCUGUUUCUUGGGGCCUUUUGCACACUAUGAGAUUUUGAAUUGUGAUUUUGUUGGAUUUUUUUGGGCAAAAUUUACAACUAUUGUCAAAGAGAGCUUAAUUCAGAAAUUUGAUUUCAUCAAUCGAUACUCUAAGCCUCGUUUUAAC
rnacentral:lncRNA from 1 species